rnacentral:lncRNA from 1 species
UUCACAUUAUUGUUAAAUGAUAUCUUAUGUAUAAAAACUUAGAUGAGAAUUAUUUUAUCUUUAUGAAAUAUUAUUUAGUUAAUUAUUAAUUAAUUAAAAUAUAGAUCUUUCUAAAAGAUCGUAAAAUGCAGCGCACGUUUUAAGAAAAUUAGGAUUUUUAUGUAUAAGUACUAAUUGUUUUUAGAGAAAUUGCCAAAAAUACUAUUUUCAAAGUACCACUUUUCAUGUUUACACUAACCAUUUUCAUCCUCAUCUUUAAUGAAGGGUACAAGACAUUUAUAACCUUUUGAUUACCUUUGACAAAAAAACAUACGGUUAACUAAUCUAAACUUCAAAGAUCAACUCUAAACCUUAAAUCAUCAACUCUAAACCCUAAAACAUGAAACAUCAACCCUAAACCCUAAACCCCGAAACAUCAACUCUAAACUCUAAACCCUAAAACUUCAACUCUAAACCUUAAAACAUCAACUCUAAACCCUAAACGUAAACCCUAAACCCUAAAUCUAAACUUAAAACAUCAACUUUAAACCCUAAAUCAUCAACUCUAAACCCUAAACCAUGAAACAUCAACUCUAAAUCCUAAACCCUGAAACAUCAACUCUAAACCCUAAACCCUAAACCUUCAAAUCAAAACCCUAAAACAUCAAGUCUAAACCCUAAACGUAAACCCUAAACCCUAAACCUUAUAUUUUUCUGAAAUUCGAACCUUAAAUCCUUAACCUUCAAAUCUAAACCCUAAAACAUCAAUUCUAAACCCUAAACCCUAAAUCUUCAAAUCUAAACCGUAAAACAUCAACUCUAAGGUUUUUGGGUUUAGGGUUUAGGGUUUAGGGUUUAGGGUUUAGGAUUUAGAGUUGAAGGUUUAGGGUUGAUGUUUUAGGGUUUAGGGUUAAUUUUUAGGGUUUAGAGUUUACUUUUUAGGGUUUAGGGUUUAGUGUCGAUAGUUUAGGAUUUAGUGUUGAUAGUUUAGGGUUUAGGGUUUAGAGUUGAUGUUUUAGGGUUUAGAGUUGAAGGUUUAGGGUUUAGGGUUUAGAGUUGAUGUUUCAGGGUUUAGGAUUUAUUUCAAAAAAAAAAUAGGGUGUAGGAUUGAUGGUUUAGGAUUUAGGGUUCGUAUUUCAAAAAAAAAAGGGUUUAUGAUUGAUGGUUUAGGGUUUAGAGUUGAGUUUUAGGGUUUAGGGUUUG